rnacentral:rRNA from 1 species
GACGAACGCUGGCGGCGUGCUUAACACAUGCAAGUCGAACGGAAAGGCCCUGCUUUUGUGGGGUGCUCGAGUGGCGAAAGGGUGAGUAACACGUGAGUAACCUGCCCUUGACUUUGGGAUAACUUCAGGAAACUGGGGCUAAUACCGGAUAGGAGCUCCUGCUGCAUGGUGGGGGUUGGAAAGUUUCGGCGGUUGGGGAUGGACUCGCGGCUUAUCAGCUUGUUGGUGGGGUAGUGGCUUACCAAGGCUUUGACGGGUAGCCGGCCUGAGAGGGUGACCGGCCACAUUGGGACUGAGAUACGGCCCAGACUCCUACAGGAGGCAGCAGUGGGGAAUAUUGCACAAUGGGCGGAAGCCUGAUGCAGCAACGCCGCGUGCGGGAUGACGGCCUUCGGGUUGUAAACCGCUUUCGCCUGUGACGAAGCGUGAGUGACGGUAAUGGGUAAAGAAGCACCGGCUAACUACGUG